UUUUUCCGAUAGCUCUUAUGGGUAUAAUUCAUGGAUCUCCAUGGGGAGAACUAUUUAUCUGCCCAACACCAAAAUUCCUGAGCCUGUGGCGUUGGCCCGCCAAGUGAAAUUAAGAAAAUAUAGAAUGAUCUUUCCCCGGGACAAUAAUUGGUCAUAUGCCUUUUAAACCUUUCCUGUUUGCUGAUCAUUUUUUAUCGUUUAAUGUAUGUAAAUAUUUAUCUCAAUGUUUUUGUUUCUAAAAUUUUCAAACAAUAUUUAGCUUAGCUUCUGCAAAUGUGUUUGUCGAAUUGUAUUUAAAAAAAUGUUAAUAAAUGCUUGUAUAAAUGAAGUA